GACGAACGCUGGCGGCGUGCCUAAUACAUGCAAGUAGAACGCACAGUUUAUACCGUAGCUUGCUACACCAUAGACUGUGAGUUGCGAACGGGUGAGUAACGCGUAGGUAACCUGCCUGGUAGCGGGGGAUAACUAUUGGAAACGAUAGCUAAUACCGCAUAAUAUUGAUUAUUGCAUGAUAAUUAAUUGAAAGGUGCAAUUGCACCACUACCAGAUGGACCUGCGUUGUAUUAGCUAGUAGGUGAGGUAACGGCUCACCUAGGCGACGAUACAUAGCCGACCUGAGAGGGUGAUCGGCCACACUGGGACUGAGACACGGCCCAGACUCCUACGGGAGGCAGCAGUAGGGAAUCUUCGGCAAUGGACGAAAGUCUGACCGAGCAACGCCGCGGGAGUGAAGAAGGGUGUCGGAUCGGAAAGCUCUGUUGUAAGAGAAGAACGGGUGUGAGAGUGGAAAGUUCACACUGUGACGGUAUCUUACCAGAAAGGGACGGCUAACUACGUG
rnacentral:rRNA from 1 species